ACGGCUCAGUAACACGUGGACAACCUGCCCUAAGGUCUGGAAUAACCCCGGGAAACUGGGGAUAAUACCGGAUAAAUCAUAGAUGCUGGAAUGCUCUGUGAUUAAAAGCUCCGGCGCCUUAGGAUGGAUCUGCGGCCUAUCAGGUAGUAGUGGGUGUAAUGUACCUACUAGCCUACGACGGGUACGGGUUGUGAGAGCAAGAGCCCGGAGAUGGAUUCUGAGACAUGAAUCCAGGCCCUACGGGGCGCAGCAGGCGCGAAAACUUUACAAUGCGGGAAACCGCGAUAAGGGGACACUGAGUGCCAGCACCAUGUGUUGGCUGUCCGCAUGUAUAAAUCACAUGUGUCAGCAAGGGCCGGGCAAGACCGGUGCCAGCCGCCGCGGUAACACCGGCGGCCCGAGUGGUGGCCAUUAUUAUUGGGUCUAAAGGGUCCGUAGCCGGUUUGAUCAGUCUUCCGGGAAAUCUGACAGCUCAACUGUUAGGCUUCUGGGGGAUACUGUCAGACUUGGAACCGGGAGAGGUAAGAGGUACUACAGGGGUAGGAGUGAAAUCUUGUAAUCCUUGUGGGACCACCAGUGGCGAAGGCGUCUUACCAGAACGGGUUCGACGGUGAGGGACGAAAGCUGGGGGCACGAACCGGAUUAGAUACCCGGGUAGUCCCAGCCGUAAACGAUGCUCGCUAGGUGUCUGGGAUGGUGCGACCGUUUCAGGUGCCGCAGGGAAGCCGUGAAGCGAGCCACCUGGGAAGUACGGCCGCAAGGCUGAAACUUAAAGGAAUUGGCGGGGGAGCAC
rnacentral:rRNA from 1 species